UAUACCUAAAACAAUGAAAGCCCUACCUCUCUUUCAUCCUUACGGCUCCUUGUCCGUGCCAGUGUGAAUCAGGAUUGUAAAAAUCAA
rfam:Bacillus bataviensis LMG 21833 contig97, whole genome shotgun sequence.